rnacentral:rRNA from 1 species
UAAAGUCACAACGGUAAAAGAUGAGCAUGCGUCCCAUUAGCUAGUUGGUAUGGUAACAGCUUACCAAGGAAACGAUGGGUAGGGGUCCUGAUAGGCCCCUCCCCCACCCUGGAACUGAGACCCGGACUCCACUCCUACGGGAGGCAGCGGGGAGGAGUAUUGUACAAUGGGCUCAGACCUGAUCCUGCCAUGCGCCGGGCGAAAGGAUGGUCCUAUGGAUUGUACUCUGCUUUUGUACAAGAAAAAACUUUCCCUCGUGAGGGAGCUUGCUGGAACUGUAAGAAUAAGGAUCCUCUAACUCCGUGCCCGCAGCCGCGCUAAUACGGAGGAUCCAAGCGUUAUCCGUAGUCAUUGAGUGUAAAGGGUCCGUAUGCGGUCUUAUAUGUCAGAGGAGAAAUCUCCCCGCUCAACGGGGAAACGGACACUGAUACUGUAGGACUUGAAUUAUUAGGAAGUAACUAGAAUAUGUAGUGUAGCGCUGAAAUGCUUAGAGAUUACAUGCAAUACCAAUUGCGAAGGAAUGUUACUACUAAUGACAUUGACGCUGAUGGACGAAAGCGUGAGUAGCGAUCAGGAUUAGAUACCCUGCUCGUCCACGCCAUAGACGAUGGAUACUAGCUGUUGGGCGCAGUUCACAGACUAAUCGAAAAUGAUAACAUCCCACCUGGCGACUACGAUCGCAAGACNAAACUCAAAGAAUUGACGCGGCCCCGCACA